rnacentral:lncRNA from 10 species
GGAAGCGGCGGCGGGAGCUUCCGGGAGGGCGGCUCGCAGGCACCAUGACUCCUGUGAGGAUGCAGCACUCCCUGGCAGGUCAGACCUAUGCCGUGCCCUUCAUCCAGCCAGACCUGCGGCGAGAGGAGGCCGUCCAGCAGAUGGCGGAUGCCCUGCAGUACCUGCAGAAGGUCUCUGGAGACAUCUUCAGCAGGUGGGUGCUGCCACUCACCCCCACCUGAUGAGAGGGCCAUCCCUGUCCUGGGCAAUCCCAGCAACACACCCUCUGGGAGCAGCCCCCUUGGGGAAUCCCGGUCCUGGGGAACCCAUCUGGCUUCCCUGUGUGGGAGGGGCUGAAGUGAGAGCCCAACUUGGAAGCUUUUACUCCUGGGAGUCCAAGAGCUCACUCCCUUCCACCCCACUUAGCCUCCUGGUUUCCUGUGGUGGCUCUGCUCUCACAACUCAUGCUUUUCCUCCCAUUGGAGGGCCUAUUCCUUCACGUUUUCCUGCAGCCAACAAAUAUUUACCCAGCAGUGCUCGUGUGCAAGGCAGUGUGGGAAUCUCUAUAUAUCCAGCCACGGAUAAGGCAACAUACCUCUCCACCUGGAGCGCACAUUCUGGCAGGAGAGAAAGACCUAAAUAA